GACGAACGCUGGCGGCGUGCUUAACACAUGCAAGCCGAACGGAAAGGCCCUGCUUGCAGGGUGCUCGAGUGGCGAACGGGUGAGUAACACGUGGGUGAUCUGCCCCUUACUUUGGGAUAAGCCUGGGAAACUGGGUCUAAUACUGGAUAGGACCAUGCUGUAGGUGGUGUGGUGGAAAGAUUAGUUUCGGUAAGGGAUGAGCUCGCGGCCUAUCAGCUUGUUGGUGGGGUAAUGGCCUACCAAGGCGUCGACGGGUAGCUGGCCUGAGAGGGUGGACGGCCACAUUGGGACUGAGAUACGGCCCAGACUCCUACGGGAGGCAGCAGUGGGGAAUAUUGCACAAUGGGCGCAAGCCUGAUGCAGCGACGCCGCGUGGGGGAUGACGGCCUUCGGGUUGUAAACUCCUUUCAGCCAUGACGAAGCCCUUGUGGUGACGGUAGUGGUAGAAGAAGCACCGGCUAACUACGUG
rnacentral:rRNA from 1 species